UACAGAGGUGGCAAGCGUUGUUCGGAAUUACUGGGCGUAAAGGGCGCGUAGGCGGCCUGCUCAGUCGGACGUGAAAGCCCCAGGCUUAACCUGGGAACUGCGUCCGAUACUGGCAGGCUUGGAUUCGGGAGAGGGAUGUGGAAUUCCAGGUGUAGCGGUGAAAUGCGUAGAUAUCUGGAGGAACACCGGUGGCGAAGGCGGCAUCCUGGACCGAGAUCGACGCUGAGGCGCGAAAGCUAGGGGAGCAAACGGG
rnacentral:rRNA from 1 species